AAAAAAAGCCACAGCAUUUGCCUCUUUUGUAGUCACAAAAUACAUCCAUUUACCCUUUUUUUUCUCCCGAAAAUGGCUGAAAUGGUUGUCUCCAAUAUUGUUGAAGACAUCAUCAAGAAACUGUGUUCUGGAGUUCUCCAAGAGAUUGGGCUAUGGUGGGGUGCCAAGGAUGAACUUGAGAGAAUCAAGAGAACAGUCUUCGCAUUCCAAGGUGAGCUUUCUCGUGCAGAGAUGAAUCCUAACUUUAAUGUACUGAAAUUUCGGCAGUUCCAAACGCUGAAAGAAGAUGUUUAUAUUGCUGAUGACUUGCUGGAUGACUUGCACACCGAAGCUUUGCGUCGUCGAGCAUUGGGAGGGGAAAAAGUUUCAAAGGAGGCAUUACCUGACAGUUAGUUAAAAAACUAAAAGCUAAGGCCUUUCAGAUGAAAAACUGUGGCACUCUGUUUAACUACUUGGUUCUGGUAUUACCUUUCAAUCCGAAUGCUCCCAAAAAUAAACGAAAGGACUUUCUUUCCUUAUGUUGUAAGAUUGAGAAGAUGUCCAUAUUUGUACCAGAGUCAUGGUGGCACGGAAGAGAUGAAGAAGAAAGAGUUGAAAAACUGGGAAAUAAGACAGGAAAGGUACAUCUACUAUUAAUCGAAUUGCCUAUGUAAUGUAUUUUCUUCAGUGCUUGUUAUCAUUUUUCAGUGUUUG
rnacentral:misc_RNA from 1 species